rnacentral:sRNA from 1 species
GUGAAAGGUGCUGGUUUGCCAGCAAUCCACAAAACGGGGACAGUAACCAUGUGAGCUCCCUCAGCAAUAUGCCUCUAUACUGACAUGGAGGGACCACCAUUUGGAUGAGAGUGGAGUUCUAUCCAUGGCCCAUUCAAUUCUUGGUCUCU